rnacentral:tRNA from 1 species
GAGAUACUAGUUAAACCAUAACCCUGCCUUGUCAAGGCAACAUUACAGGUUAAACCCCUGUGCACCUCC